GUGCCAGCAGCUGCGGUAAUACGUAGGUGGCAAGCGUUGUCCGGAUUUAUUGGGCGUAAAGCGAGCGCAGGCGGUUUCUUAAGUCUGAUGUGAAAGCCCCCGGCUCAACCGGGGAGGGUCAUUGGAAACUGGGAGACUUGAGUGCAGAAGAGGAGAGUGGAAUUCCAUGUGUAGCGGUGAAAUGCGUAGAUAUAUGGAGGAACACCAGUGGCGAAGGCGGCUCUCUGGUCUGUAACUGACGCUGAGGCUCGAAAGCGUGGGGAGCAAACAGGAUUAGAUACCCUGGUAGUCCACGCCGUAAACGAUGAGUGCUAAGUGUU
rnacentral:rRNA from 1 species